UACGGAGGAGGCAAGCGUUAUCCGGAAUUCUUGGGCGUAAAGCGUCCGCAGGUGGCGAUUCAAGUCUGCGGUCAAAGACUGGGGCUUAACCCUGGAAAGGCCGUGGAAACUGAAUAGCUAGAGUGCAGUAGGGGUAGAGGGAAUUCCCGGUGUAGCGGUGAAAUGCGUAGAGCUCGGGAAGAACAUCGGUGGCGAAAGCGCUCUGCUGGACUGCAACUGACACUCAGGGACGAAAGCUAGGGGAGCGAAUGGG
rnacentral:rRNA from 1 species